UUCUAAAGACCUAAAUACCCUAAGGACACAAGAUCCUGUCUGCUUUUGGAAGCUAAGCAGGGUCAGCCCUAGUUAGUACUUGUAUAGGAGACCAACAAUGAAUACCAAGUACUAUGGAAU
rnacentral:rRNA from 11 species